AUACGUAGGUGGCGAGCGUUGUCCGGAAUUACUGGGCGUAAAGGAUGCGUAGGUGGAUAUUUAAGUGGGAUGUGAAAUCCCCGGGCUCAACCCGGGAACUGCAUUCCAAACUGGGUAUCUAGAGUGCAGGAGAGGAAAGCGGAAUUCCUAGUGUAGCGGUGAAAUGCGUAGAUAUUAGGAGGAACACCAGUGGCGAAGGGGGCUUUCUGGACUGUAACUGACACUGAGCAAUGAAAGCGUGGGUAGCAAACAGGAUUAGAUACCCUGGUAGUCCACGCCGUAAACGAUGGGUACUAGGUGUAGGAGGUAUCGACCCCUUCUGUGCCGUCGUUAACACAAUAAGUACCCCGCCUGGGGAGUACGGUCGCAAGACUAAAACUCAAAUGAAUUGACGGGG
rnacentral:rRNA from 1 species